UGUGGCUUCUCUCUUUUCAGUACACCCUCUCAAUGGUGUGUGGCAUUGGGUUUCAAUUCCAGGAGAUGGAUAUACCUAUCAUCCGUCAGUGGUGGUGCCUUCUACUCAUGGAACAAUUUCAAACUGAUGGUAUGUCACCGACUCGGUCCCAGUAACUCCCCUCGCUGGCCAGCAG